rnacentral:rRNA from 1 species
GACGAACGCCGGCGGCGUGCUUAACACAUGCAAGUCGAACGGUGAACCUCUUCGGAGGGGAUCAGUGGCGAACGGGUGAGUAACACGUGGGCAACCUGCCCCCGGCUCUGGGAUAACUCCAAGAAAUUGGGGCUAAUACCGGAUGUUCACCGCUUCCCGCAUGGGUGGUGGUGGAAAGGGUUUCCGGCUGGGGAUGGGCCCGCGGCCUAUCAGCUUGUUGGUGGGGUAGUGGCCUACCAAGGCGACGACGGGUAGCCGGCCUGAGAGGGUGACCGGCCACACUGGGACUGAGACACGGCCCAGACUCCUACGGGAGGCAGCAGUGGGGAAUAUUGCGCAAUGGGCGGAAGCCUGACGCAGCGACGCCGCGUGGGGGAUGACGGCCUUCGGGUUGUAAACCUCUUUCAGCAGGGACGAAGCGCAAGUGACGGUACCUGCAGAAGAAGCACCGGCCAACUACGUGCCAGCAGCCGCGGUAAUACGUAGGGUGCAAGCGUUGUCCGGAAUUAUUGGGCGUAAAGAGCUCGUAGGCGGUUCGUCGCGUCGGCUGUGAAAACCCGGAGCUCAACUCCGGGCCUGCAGUCGAUACGGGCGGACUUGAGUUCGGCAGGGGAGACUGGAAUUCCUGGUGUAGCGGUGAAAUGCGCAGAUAUCAGGAGGAACACCGGUGGCGAAGGCGGGUCUCUGGGCCGAAACUGACGCUGAGGAGCGAAAGCGUGGGGAGCGAACAGGAUUAGAUACCCUGGUAGUCCACGCCGUAAACGUUGGGCGCUAGGUGUGGGGGCCAUUCCACGGUCUCCGUGCCGCAGCUAACGCAUUAAGCGCCCCGCCUGGGGAGUACGGCCGCAAGGCUAAAACUCAAAGGAAUUGACGGGGGCCCGCACAAGCGGCGGAGCAUGUUGCUUAAUUCGAUGCAACGCGAAGAACCUAACCUAGGCUUGACAUGCACGGAAAAGCGGCAGAGAUGUCGUGUCCUUCGGGGUCGUGCACAGGUGGUGCAUGGUUGUCGUCAGCUCGUGUCGUGAGAUGUUGGGUUAAGUCCCGCAACGAGCGCAACCCUCGUUCCAUGUUGCCAGCACGUGAUGGUGGGGACUCAUGGGAGACUGCCGGGGUCAACUCGGAGGAAGGUGGGGAUGACGUCAAAUCAUCAUGCCCCUUAUGUCUAGGGCUGCAAACAUGCUACAAUGGCCGGUACAAAGGGCUGCGAUACCGCGAGGUGGAGCGAAUCCCAAAAAGCCGGUCUCAGUUCGGAUUGGGGUCUGCAACUCGACCCCAUGAAGUUGGAGUCGCUAGUAAUCGCAGAUCAGCAACGCUGCGGUGAAUACGUUCCCGGGCCU